AGCGUUAUUCGGAAUUACUGGGCGUAAAGCGCACGUAGGCGGCUUUGUAAGUAAGAGGUGAAAGCCUGGUGCUCAACACCAGAACUGCCUUUUAGACUGCAUCGCUUGGAUCAUGGAGAGGUGAGUGGAAUUCCGAGUGUAGAGGUGAAAUUCGUAGAUAUUCGGAAGAACACCAGUGGCGAAGGCGGCUCACUGGACAUGUAUUGACGCUGAGGUGCGAAAGCGUGGGGAGCAAACGGG
rnacentral:rRNA from 1 species